UCAGUUUGCUGGAGGAUUUGAUGCUGAAAGCAUGAAGGCGUUUGAAGAACUAAGGAGUCGCGUUCAGUCACAAACAGGAGGAGAGAAUACACAAGAACCAUGAGAAUAUUUGUAUUUUGGUUUUGGUCACUGUAUAUUUCAUCAUUUUCUCCAAGUAUAGCAAAACAUAUUCUAUCUUGGACAUUUGUACAAUUCGAAAGGUUAAACUCAAGGAGAAUGUCAGAUAACACAGAUUAGUUAAAAAGAAGUUGCAG
rnacentral:misc_RNA from 1 species